rnacentral:lncRNA from 1 species
GUUUGUUACUGGCCUGCCUGGGGACAGUGACACUGGAGAUGCGCGUUCAUGUGAAUUCUCCAUUUUGUUCUUUCAGUCUUUGAACGAAUACAACGUCGCCCGGUUGGAAUAUUAUCGCUAUUUUACGAGAAAAAUCGCAUAAAAAUUGAUUUUAAACAGCGUUUGACAUGCUUCGAAGUACGGUAAUGGAAUAUUUUGAAUUUUUUUGUCAUUGUGACCUGAAUACACGAACAAAACGGAGCUAUUUCAAUAUAACUAUGGAUUAUUUCGAACCAAAACAACAUUUGUUGUUGAAGUAGAAGUCCUGGGAGUGCAUUCUGACGAAAAACAGCAAAGGAUUUGGACCUGUUCCCGGGAAAGCAGUAUGUCGGACGCGUCGGACUCGUUAAAGGGGGAAAAAAACUUCUGCCAGUUUGUGGUAUGUUUUGAUGUGAGAGAGGAUGCCAACCCCCAGUCCUGUCAUUGCCACCUCACGAAGGUUAUCUUAAGAUAACCUUCGGGCUGACUGGGAGCCAAAGACUAUUUAGGAG